rnacentral:antisense_RNA from 1 species
UCUAUUUGCGGGUUGGGUCUGGGAGCCGCAAGGCUCGCCGGUGACCUUUGGGGCCGGUAUGUCAACCAGACUCAACCCGCUUUUGUU